rnacentral:rRNA from 1 species
CCCGCCGGCGACCGGCGCACGGGUGAGUAACGCGUAUGCAACCUGCCCGUUUCAGCGGGAUAACCCGGAGAAAUCCGGCCUAAUACCGCAUGUGGCCGAGGGGAGGCAUCUUCUUUCGGCCAAAGGAGGCGACUCCGGAGACGGAUGGGCAUGCGUGACAUUAGCUAGUUGGCGGGGUAACGGCCCACCAAGGCGACGAUGUCUAGGGGUUCUGAGAGGAAGGUCCCCCACACUGGUACUGAGACACGGACCAGACUCCUACGGAAGGCAGCAG